rnacentral:piRNA from 1 species
UGAAGAAGGCUUGCCUCCAGGGAU